UCGUGAGAUCAAUGCUUCGAGCUGAUUCAGUGAGUUUAUGAGCAGCAGCAUAGGUGAUAUCUCCGGCCGGUCUCGCUCCUGUUUCAAUCACCUUCACAUCACAAUGCUCUUCUUAUAGGUACAUGAUUUUAAUUCCUCCGACGUUGGGGUUCCUGGUGCUCGGAGGAGAUGACACGAUUUCACUUCCCACUUUAAGACCCCUCAUGGUAAGGCAA